CCUACGGGUGGCUGCAGUGGGGAAUAUUGGACAAUGGGCGAAAGCCUGAUCCAGCCAUGCCGCGUGUGUGAAGAAGGCCUUCGGGUUGUAAAGCACUUUCAGUGGGGAAGAAAGCCUUGGGGCUAAUACCCUCGAGGAAGGACAUCACCCACAGAAGAAGCACCGGCUAACUCCGUGCCAGCAGCCGCGGUAAUACGGAGGGUGCGAGCGUUAAUCGGAAUUACUGGGCGUAAAGCGCGCGUAGGCGGUCUGAUAAGCCGGUUGUGAAAGCCCCGGGCUCAACCUGGGAACGGCAUCCGGAACUGUCAGGCUAGAGUGCAGGAGAGGAAGGUAGAAUUCCCGGUGUAGCGGUGAAAUGCGUAGAGAUCGGGAGGAAUACCAGUGGCGAAGGCGGCCUUCUGGACUGACACUGACGCUGAUGUGCGAAAGCGUGGGUAGCAAACAGGAUUAGAUACCCUGGUAGUC
rnacentral:rRNA from 1 species